UACGUAGGGUGCAAGCGUUAAUCGGAAUUACUGGGCGUAAAGCGUGCGCAGGCGGUUCGCUAAGACCGAUGUGAAAUCCCCGGGCUUAACCUGGGAACUGCAUUGGUGACUGGCGGGCUAGAGUAUGGCAGAGGGGGGUAGAAUUCCACGCGUAGCAGUGAAAUGCGUAGAGAUGUGGAGGAAUACCGAUGGCGAAGGCAGCCCCCUGGGCCAAUACUGACGCUCAUGCACGAAAGCGUGGGGAGCAAACAGG
rnacentral:rRNA from 1 species